rnacentral:snRNA from 1 species
GGCUGCGAGGGUUAUCUGACUGCGAUAUCUGUCACCCCAUUGAUCACCACCAGAGUUAAUGACUCUGAUCUGGCUGGUGAGGCAGGUGUUCUAUUCCUCCCUUACCGCUCCCUGUACAUCCCUUCCCAAGCUGUGUACUUAUGCUCAGUGGACAAGGAUGACCUCCUGCAACAGAGGAGGCCGAUUCUUUGCUCAAGGGUUUAUGUAUAUCUCUGCUUCCCUGCAAGAACCUCCAAAUAAGCUCUCAGGGUCCAUUUGUAGAAGAACAUAGCAUAAUCAAGCUUCUGAGAGUCCAGACACAUCGAAAUGAGGCAUGGCAUGUGGCAGUCUGCCUUUCUUA